ensembl:lncRNA
GCUCUACUAGUUUCAAUGUUACUGCAUGCACUGGCAUGAAAGCUUUAGCCUGGCCUCACAUCUGUAUGUGCUUUUAUCAACUCUGACAGGCUGAGGAGUAAUCUGGGGAGAAGGUACAUCUAGUUGAGGAGUAGUCUGGGGUGAAGGUAACUCUGGCUGAGGAGUAGUCUGGGGAGAAGGUAACUCUUGCUGGGGAGUAGUCUGGGGUGAAGGUAACUCUGGCUGAGGAGUAGUCUGGGGUGAAAGUAACUCUGGCUGAGGAGUAGUCUGGGGUGAAGGUAACUCUUGCUGAGGAGUAGUCUGGGGUGAAGGUAACUCUGUCUAGGGAGUAGUCUGGGGAGAAGGUAACUCUGGCUGGGGAGUAGUCUGGGGUGAAGGUAACUCUGGCUGGGGAGUAGUCUGGGGUGAAGGUAACUGGCUGGGGAGUAGUCUGGGGUGAAGGUAACUGGCUGGGGAGUAGUCUGGGGAGAAGGUAACUCUGGCUGGGGAGUAAUCUGGGGUGAAGGUAACUUUGGCUGAGUAGUCUGGGGAGAAAGUAACUCUGGCUGGGGAGUAGUCUGGGGAGAAGGUAACUCUGGCUGGGGAGUAAUCUGGGGAGUAGUCUGGGGAGAAGGUAACUCUGGCUGGGGAGUAGUCUGGGGAGAAGGUAACUCUGGCUGGAGAGUAGUCUGGGGAGAAGGCGGAAGCAUAUACAGACCAGGCUAUGACAUCUUGGGGAUCGGUCACAAACUAGGAAACUAUUUUCUUCUAAUCAGGGCCUAACUAUUAUGGAUAUUAGUCCUUCUAUACUGGGGAUGUGAAGGGUGGAGGGUACUACUGCACUACUCUGAAGAUCUGUAUUUCAGUUUGGCCUAUAUACAGUGGGGCAAAAAAGUAUUUAGUCAGCCACUAAUUGUGCAAGUUCUCCCACCUAAAAAGAUGAG